UGAACGCCCGGCUUGAAUGCCCUGCUCGGACCGCCAUGCUGGUGGACCUCAGCAAGUGGUCCGGGCCCUUGAGCCUGCAGGAAGUGGACGAGAAGCCGCGGCACCCGCUGCAGGUCACCUACGGCGGAGCCGCGGUGGACGAGCUGGGCAAAGUGCUGACGCCCACCCAGGUUAAGGAUAGACCCACCGUUUCAUGGGAUGGUCUAGAUCCAGGUAAACUCUACACCUUGGUUCUGACAGACCCAGAUGCUCCCAGCAGGAAGGACCCCAAAUACAGAGAAUGGCAUCAUUUUCUGGUGGUCAACAUGCAGGACAAUGACAUCAGCAAAGAAAAGCCUGCUUGGGAAAAGCUUUCUGCUUGGUUAUCUGUUGUCUUGAGCUGGAGCUCUGAGUGUGUCCUGCUUCCCGUUUUCCCUUCUUCCCCUCUUGGUCCCAAUAAGAUGAUGUUCCCCUUGAGGGACUGUAGCCUCUCAGAG